rnacentral:rRNA from 1 species
GACGAACGCUGGCGGCGUGCUUAACACAUGCAAGUCGAACGGAAAGGCCCUGAUUUUGUGGGGUUCUCGUUUGGCGAACGGGUGAGUAACACGUGAGUAAACUGCCCUUGUCUUUGGGAUAACUUCAGGAAACUGGGGCUCAUACCGGAUAGGAGCUCCUGCUGCAUGGUGUGGGUUGGAAAGUUUCGGCGGUUGGGGAUGUACUCGCGGCUUAUCAGCUUGUUGGGGGAGUAGGGGUUUACCAAGUCUUUGACGGGUAGCCGGCCUGAAAGGGUGACCGGCCACAUGGGGACUGCGAUACGGCGCAGACGGCUACGUUAGGCAGCAGUCGGGAAUAUUGCAGAAUGGGCGGAAGCCUGAUGCAGCAACGCCGGGAGCGUGAUGACGUCCUUCGGGUUGUAAACCGCUUUCGCCUGUGACGAAGCGUGAGUGACGGUAAUGGGUAAAGAAGCACCGGCUAACUACGUG